CCUUCUCACUCCCUCUCCUUCUCAAAGUUAUUGUAUCAAAGAGUAGCAAGAGGAGGCCGCCAUUUAGGGCAGGAGCAGAGAUUUGUUGCUCUGCUUCCGCUGAUCGAUCAUUGUUGUGCUCAAAAACAAGAGAAAUGGAGAAUCCUCCCAUAAGGACGUCCAUCCAACCGGUUAGAGAAGAUGUCCAGAAACAUUUUUUCUUUUAUUUUCUUAUUAAUCUAUCGUCGCACCCAAAAACUAACCCUAAGAAAUCAAGUUAAGUUGGAUCUCAUCACUAUGCCAUCUGUAAAAGAGACAACUGUUUAUACAGAAGGAGAAGAAAUCCGGGUAAUUAACAAUUUCCAGAUUUGCGGUGCAGGAGCCUGUCGUAACUACAUCUUGCCUCAUCCAUCGCAGAUGUUGGUUUAAUUUAUGUUUAGCUUUUACCUCUAUUAGAAACCCUAAAUUUUACAAAAGUAAAUAUUCCAUCAAUUUCCUAAAAAUUUACUCUAACUGCCCGAUAGUUCAUUCUAUUCAACUUAGAUUUAAAUUGUUUGUUGAGUAAUUGACGAUAAUGUAGUUCUUUCACACCCUUUACACCUUGACCGUAGAUUCUAUUUUGUCUAGUUCAUCUAUACUCUAUUUGGAAAUUGAAGACUGAUUUUAUGUGUUUGAACUAGUUGAGUCUGUUGUAGAAUUUGGGGAUUUAUUCACAAGGAACAUCAAAUAUGCAUAUUCAUUCUUUUGACUAUCAACACACAAAUUUAACUCUGGGAAAUCUGAAUAGUUGCAGAUAGUAUUUAACCUGUAAUAUUUAUGAGCAUCAAUAUGUUCCCUGAUUUUCACUUGGAUGAAGUUUAUUUUUCAUAUGCUUGAAGAUGAUUGAACGACACAUCUUAUCAAUUCUUUGCAACUAAUUGACUCUUACUAUAUUUAUUUGGUUGCUACCUUACUUGAAUGUCAGGCCUCUUUGUAUCAGCUAUUGUAAGGCCAAUAUUGGACAACUAUAAAAUUUCGAAAAAGGUUCAUCAGAUCCCUCUUAGCGAUGUUCACAUUCUCAUAUGAAUAUAUGUCGGUGUAGCAUCUUCUAUUAUUUCUUGAGGAAAUUCUUCAAUGUGAAUGUAAAUCUUUUGAAGAUCUACACAUAUUUAGACAACACAAAGUCGAGGUGUCUUCUAUGUUGUCGAUGAGGUAGAUCUUUGGAAGUCUGUAAUUUCCACAAAUCAUCAAGGUUUCUCUCUUUUGUUUCAUUCUUCCAAUCAAUUUCUUCUCCGUGACAUCAAUUUGUCAGGUACAAGUGUAAAAGUUUUGAUGAAUUGUCCGGCACAAUAUCUUGUAUACAACUCCAAGAACUGAUGUAGUAUUGUUGAAUGAAGAAUACAAGAGAGUGCUAAGAUCAAUACUUCAUACAGGUUUUCUUGCUCAUAUGAUUCUCUGAACUUUGAACUUGGUAAGGCUUUAAACAAAUUUUAUUUGUAUAGUUUUAAGAUUAUUUUGUGGAUCUUGAUAUUUGAAUUAACUAGAUUGAAAAGUCAAAAUCAAUAUUCACAAAAUUUAUUACCAAUGAUUGUAUUUAUUAUUUUUGGCUUCAUUUUACAGGCUCAAGUCACUCCAUUGAAUAACUAUAUGUAUAGGAUAUAAUUUGUGUUAUUAGUUAAGAAUUUUUUUUGUAAUUAUUCAAUUAUAUGUGUAAUUAAAUAUUGAUAAUUAUUAUUACAUUAAAUAGAGUUCUUAA